rnacentral:rRNA from 1 species
UGGGGAAUAUUGGACAAUGGGCGAAAGCCUGAUCCAGCCAUGCCGCGUGAGUGACGAAGGCCUUAGGGUUGUAAAACUCUUUCGUCGGGGACGAUAAUGACGGUACCCGAAGAAGAAGCUCCGGCUAACUUCGUGCCAGCAGCCGCGGUAAUACGAAGGGAGCUAGCGUUGUUCGGAAUCACUGGGCGUAAAGCGCACGUAGGCGGAUAGUUAAGUCAGGGGUGAAAUCCUGGGGCUCAACCCCAGAACUGCCUUUGAAACUAGGUCGCUAGAAUCACGGAGAGGUGAGUGGAAUUCCGAGUGUAGAGGUGAAAUUCGUAGAUAUUCGGAAGAACACCAGUGGCGAAGGCGGCUCACUGGACCUGUACUGACGCUCAUGCACGAAAGCGUGGGGAGCAAACAGGAUUAGAUACCCCCGUAGUCCCUGAGCGGGCUGGCAAGGCGCAU